rnacentral:lncRNA from 1 species
GUGUAUUCUGGGAAGAGAGAAUGAAGUAUAUCAAGGGGAACUGAGAUGUCUUCCCACACCAGCUUUCCAUGACUGCAAAUACAUAGGAUAAUACGCUCACAAUGAAGGAAGAUGCGUGCUGGUACAUCCCUGGGACGUCAGGAGUGAAGGUCAGACUGAAUCAUCUUGGGUGGCAGCAUGAAGCCAGCUCAUUCCAGCAAGUAUUUCAUUUGCAUAAUGUCUUUGCUAACUCCCAGGGUGGCCAAAUAAAGGAAAGGUGAGCCCAGCA